ensembl:lncRNA
CAACAUCAUUUAUUUUGCAGAUUUGUUUGGACAGAAGAUGAUGACCUCAGCCACCUAGAUUUGUUACUCCAAAAGGUAUUAAUAAUGGAAAGUUACAUUAGUAACAGGAUUAAAAACAUUACAUGCAUUGAUGUUCUGCAGUUUUCUUAUAUAUUGCACGAAGUGUUGUGCUUAGGCCCUCUGGAAGAAACCUAACAGUGAUGAUACAGCCAGACUGAUCUGCCUUACUGAGCAGGCUGAGAACACCACGCACAGCACACUCGCACCACUGCCACAGUCUGCAUUUGAACACACCAAUGUUAGAUCCUUCCCCUCUGUCUCAUGGUAACACUUCUUCCUUUUGGCACAGCUGGCUUCGUACUGUCCUAGUUAUUUUGGCCUAUAGUAAGGACGAUACUCAGAGUUCUCUCACUUGAAUCUUGAAACCCUUUUAGAAGACCUGUGAUGAAUAAAGCAAGAAAAUCAGAAAUUGAGCACAUAUUAGUAAGAAGUGUCCUAUACCACAUGAAGCCUGAAUUGUCAUCUUUGCAUCUACCUCCAUGAGCCUUGGAAAGGACCACAGAGUGCUGACACGUCAAAAGAUCCUGCUGUGUUUGUUUUUAAACAGGUCAAAGCCCAGCAGCCGAUCACCCUGCAUGCUUAUAGGCUCUGUGUCCAGCUAUGAAUGCAAGAGCAGGAUCUCAGCACUGAGACGGAUGAGAUUUAAAAUGCAGAGCUGCACAACAACUUCUACAGUAUGGCUCAGAGUGCAGAUGCCAUUUAGCAGUGUCAUUUGGAACUGCAACUCCAAAUUCUCCAGAUAAGCCUGUACAUGUCAAAACAGUUCCUGAAACAGUGAGCCUACAUCUGUAAUAAAGCCUUGCAUAUUUCAUAUGCAAAUGAAAUUAAUAAUUCAAAUUAUAUUGAAACUUAGUCUGUCAUGUAGUUUUUAGUGUAUUCUUUUGGAGGUAAAGAAUAGAAACACAGUCACAAUCCUGAAGGAACGCUGAGCAGUGGGUGGUCCUCAGAGCACAUCUGUGGCGUGCAACACACAAAGCUUCUUCAGCGCCCUCCUUCUUGUCCUCAUCCCAUUUGCCUAUUUGACCCAUGAAAGGUGUCCUUUGUAUCCAGUGAUGUCCAUGGAAGUGGUGAAGAUAGGCUUGCUGGGAUACCUUGCUUGCUUUUGGUGGUUAUAGCCUCUGUCACUGCUUGGCACACCAGCUACUUAAUCUGCCUGUGGCAGAAGUAGAUGUAUAAAUGGAAGCUUGUCAUUGAAAUUGUGUUGUAACAUGGAAGGUGUUCAUAUUCUCAUGCAAUCUAGCAUAAAUCACGUCUCUGUGUUCAUACAACGGCUGUGCACCUCUCUGGACUUGGUGACAAUGUCAGUGGCAUGUCCCCAACCCAGGCUGGUUGUUUCUGUUAUCACCCUGCUCUUCCUUCAAUACUGAGCAUGUUCAUAGACUGAUCUGCAGAUCUGCAGAUCAUGUGCAGGAAAGUGAUCUUGUCAUUUAACUGUUCACCAGCAAAUCUAUGUUGCCCUUCCUCAAAUACCAAUACCUGGCCUGCAUAGCUGAAGUGCUCAUAAGCCACCCAAAGCUGUUCUAUUACUUUUACUGAAGAGACGGCCAUUCCAAUGCUCAUCUUUCAGAUUGGCAGUGUCACUGGCUAAUUCUUUGGAGGAUCCCUGGAAGUUCGCAUUCUCGUAGAUGGCGUUUUUGGCCUUUUCAGCUAUACUUCUGUAGUUUGGAUUUCUUGCUGUAGAAGUUGGAUGACAACCUGCAGGAAAAGAAAACAGGAAACAAAGUAUACUAUUAAGAAGCCUCUUUGACAAAAGACAUAAAAUGGAGAGGAAAAAAAGGAUAAGAGAACCAAGCAAUUCUAGCAAAGGAUAAACAUAGCAGCUGCUGGACAAAACAGAGAGCAUUAUGUCAGAAUUUGAAUUUGGAAAAGUAAAAUGAGAUAUGCACAUCAAAACUGUCUGUUCUUACUUAGUCAAGCAUGUUGGUUUAUAUACAUAUGCUCAAAUAAUACCUGAGCUUAGUGUCUGAUUGGGGUACCUUAUAUAAUAAAUAAAACAUGAAUUGAAAGACUGGUCACCAGUAGUAUAAUUGUCACUGUAUUUUGAGAGUUAUUUUAGAAAUCAGUAAUGCUUGUUUGGACUGGAUUUCGCAACUCAUAAUACUGCAAGGUAAAAAGAAAUAGUGAAAUGUUCUAUUAACUUCUAAAUGAAAGUGCAAUUUACUGCUUGGUAGAAAGCUAGUUUAAUGACCUUCUGCCUGUACGACUAGUGCUAUUAUUAAUAAAAAUGUUUUUAAAUAAAUCAGUUAAUUUCUGAC